CUUAAUCGGUCGUUGGUUACAAGCCAUGAUUCGACCAGCACUUGACCUAUCCCGUUAUGUUCAGUGAAAUGUCAGGACAGUCGACGUGAAGGUCAGACUGGACCCUACUCGAGGCUGUACCCCAGAUCUCUCAUUACAAUCAGGCACCCAGGUUUUACAUGGUGUCACUUGGCAUGGCCUGACAUGGGCAGGCUUGUGUUGAGGGUCACAGCCAUGGUGGGACGGGCAGUGUACAUGCCUCUUCUCCAGUCCAAUACCACAAGUCUCGGAGCACUGGGAACAAGGAACAAGUACAGCUGGCACUGUUGGAAAAACGUAUUUAUCAGCUCUUGAAAAUUCCGAGUGUCUUUUGGAUGUUGGAGGACUGGUCAUUUUUGCUGUGCUUGGUUGUGAUGGAGGUGUUGUUGUGGUAGUACU